GGUGGGACUAGGAGUCAAGGAGGAUUCUGGGAAAUGUAGUAAAAGGAAGUCUUGUGAUACAGGCAGGAAGUGACAUAGCAAAGAGAAGAAGGAAGUCAUUCUCUCUUGUUCUCCUCUCCUGCUCUCUGCUCUGGAGCCACCGUGUGAUCUUCCAGCAAGAGAGGGUGCUUACUGCUAGCGUCCUCCAUAAGAUAAGUCUUAUGAUUAUGGUAGAUAAUUAAGACUGAGCUAGCAUGUAAGAAAUCCUAGUCAAUUGGCCAACAGCAUUGUAAAAUAAUAUAAAUCUCUGUGUGUUACUUGGGGCCCUAACGCAGUGGUGGGUGGAACUUGGGCGGCUGGCAGAAAGCGCCCACGUUGCGCCAGGGCUUGGGCGGCUAUGGAGUAAAGACUUAUGGUAACAGAAAUGGUGUCAAAAGCAGGAAAUCGCUCUCUUGCUCUUCCUCUUCCUGCUGCUCUCUCUGCUCUGGAGCUGCCAUGUGAUCCCGGCAAGAGAAGAUGCCUGUUGCUGGUGUCUCCAUAAGAUAAGUCUUUAGAUUAAUAGUUAUGGUUGAUAAUUAAGACUGAGCUAGCAGCCGGGCAUUGGUGGCGCACGCCUUUAAUCUCAGCACUCGGGAGGCAGAGGCAGGUGGAUCUCUGUGAGUUCGAGGUCAGCCUGGUCUCCAGAGCGAGUGCCAGGAUAGGCUCCAAAGCUACACAGAGAAACCCUGUCUCAAAAAAAAAAAAAAAAAAAAAAAAAAAAAAAAAAAAGACUGAGCUAGCAUAUAAGAAACCCUAGUCAAUUGGCCAGUGCCCAUGUGAAGAGCCGAACUUGGGCAGAACUCUGGUGGCUGAUGGAAAACGCCCACAUGACGGCGGGCUCAGAUGGAUGGAGUAAAGAUUUAUAACAGCUAGCUGGCAGCAUCCAUCCCUACAACAUGUUCCCUCUGAAGAGUUCAGCCUUCCUUCAAGAUCCCACCUGUGGCGAAGGUACCUGGCUCCUUGCCCAGAUUCAGCUACUCUGCUUUGAAAAUUAUAGUGUGCUCCUCCAGAAGCUGAGCUUCGAGGACCAGUGUUCAUUCAUCUCUGUUACUCAGCACAAGGAAGAGUGAGCGCAGCGAAAAUCCUUUCUGCUAUGCUGUUGGCAAAUGCCUUCCAAGUUAAUCCAUCAAGUCUCUCCAGGUCUGCACUAGGCCUUUCUGCCUUGCCUUAGAACCCUUUCCUUCAACUGAAAGCUAUCUCUCUCCUACCCCAUCCCUGGCUGGAAUUCUUCCUCCAAACAGGGUGGCUCACCUGUGGGUGAGAACUACAUGGUCUUGAACAUGUCUGUCACUCAGAGACUCCAACCACUAGCUCAUUUUUCCAGAACCCUCCAGUCUGGGUGAGCAGGAUUUUCUGUGCUUCCCCUCCCAUCUCUUGUAAUAACCAACCU
rnacentral:lncRNA from 1 species